CCCAAUAUCUCCAUAUUACAAAGGAACACUAAGCAAAUAGGUAGUGUUUUGAAGGAUUCAGGCUUGGAUCUAUGAAAACCUCUGAGCCUUGACUAUUUUAGGUGGUAAUAAUCUAUAAUGGAGUUCAAGUCAAUGUGAUGAGAGCCAGGGACCUUUUAUGUAAGCUGUAAGGUUUUCUGUGUAGGUGUGUCGCAGAAGGUUAUUUUUUCCCUCUUCCGGUAAUGUACAUUCUGCAUCCUAGAGUAAUGAACUUCUGUCUUGAUGCUAGAAAGGCUUUCAUCAUACUGAAUAUUAGGAUGUUUGGGAUGCUGUCAUUGGACUUCCUUUAUUUGUUAGCACCCUAGUUACUACCACCAACCUAUUUUGCUAUUUGUAGGCUCUACCCCAUACUCACUGGGGACAGAGAAGAGGGAACUGGUUCCCUAAAAAUAUUUGUGGCUCUUUCACAAGCUACCUUUGUGGCCUUGAAUAAAACACUCCCAACUUCUUUUGAGUUUUAUUUUGUUCAUCUAUGAAACGAAAGUUGAAUUUGAUUAUUUUCUUCAAACUCAGUAGUUCUAAUCCUGUAACAUUGUUACACUUGUUCUGCUUUCUCUUUCAGGAAACAGGCUACAAUUUCCAAUGGACUGAAAAAUAACAAUUAUCGUUUGGUUUCUUCCUAUCAAGUUCCCUUAAAAUUCUGAAUUUUUUACCUUGUUUUCUAUUUCUGGAAAACUGUAGAUCCGCUUUUUAGUCACAUAAGUAUUCAUCUAUGUAUACUACAAACAGGAUUUUGAUUGUUUACUGAUUGAAGAUCCUUUCGGGCACUAUGAUGCAUACAGAGAUGAAUACCUUGUCACAUCCUUAAAUAGUUCAUCAUUUUCCUGCCCAGAUAAGAUUUUUGCCUCAUCUUAGCAAAGGAGAACACAUCUUUGCUAAUGUGUUUCCAUUUUCUGUUGAAUGAGAAAUUGAACAGAUGUCCCUGCCGAUUUAGUUAUGAAAAUAUUAGUAUAAUCGGUAAGUUUUACCCAAUCUAUAUGAUACUAAACAUACUUAAUACUUUUUUAUGCUUUUAAACGAAUUACUGUCUUUCAAACUACUCUUAGUACCCAGUGUCUGCAGCAUGCAUUUUGGCAUUUUAUUACAUUCAGUUUAACACCUUAUACACGUUUCUGGAUAGCGAGCUUUUAGAAGAUAAUAGCUAUACUCUUUGUCUCUGUUAUCUCAGCCUAAUAUCUAACAUGAUGUAUAUUUGCUGGAUGAAUUAAUAUUAUGGGUAUAAAUCUUUUCCAGAAGGUUAUCCAAAGACCACGUGAAGCAAAUCAGUCAUGUCUUCUUUAAUUCCCCCUUAUACUGAUUCAGUGCUUAGUAUGUAGUAGAUGUUGGGCAUAGUCCUGUCAACUUGAAAUAGAAGUUUCAGUGGGUUGUUGCCAUAACCCAUAACGUGUUUAUAAUGGAGAAUGAAUUAAUCUUGUAAUUUUAAAAGACCUUAAGUAUACCAAAAUGCUUUUUGUCCUGUAAAGUUUACAUAAUUUUCCAUUGCCAUAACUCUCUUCUUAACUGAUCUAUUUCUUCUAUUCUCUUUUAUUGGUAAAAAGAAAAAAGAUACAAAGGAAUACCUGCUUACAGUAUUCUUUGAGGAGACUGUAAGAGGAAAGUGAAAAGUUAGAGCCUUUGAGAAAAGUUCUGUUAAGAGAAAUAUUUCAGGGGAAAGGAAUUAGUAUACUAUAUAGUAUGGAGGGGGCAGUCCUUGAGCGUUGAAAGGUGGUUAUUGAAAUACAGUCUCUGUCUUUUUGUUUCUUUUUCUUCCUCACUUCUAGCUUCUGUGAGAUAAGGGGAUAGAAUUAAGAAUCAAAGGGUCCAUUUUUUUUUUCUUUAUUGCCCCGUUAUUUCUGCAUCAAUAGAUAUACUUGAAAGGUGACUGGGUAGAAGCUCCCUAAUUCCAGAAAUGUAAUUCCAGCAACUUCUCGCACACCGUAACAUGAGUAUUUCACGGAUUGGCUGAGCGAACUCAGGCUGGCUGCCUGUUGCUCCAGGCCCACCUCAGACCAGGAGGGGAAAAUGGUAAACUGUGGAGAAAUGGGUUACGGAGAGGUAUUGGGCACCAAGAGAUGUCCCGACAAUCAGAGUGUUGUGACAAAUCUUUACAUGAGCAUUUCAUGUUUUCAUCUACAAAGUGAGGAAGAAGAGUAAUUAUGAAGAACAUGAGGGAGUGAGGGAAUAAAGCUACAUGUCGAGUACCCCUGUUCUGAUUCCUUAAUCAUGUUUUCAGAGCACUUUUGCCAUCUGCUGAACUGUGGCGACUCAGCUCCCAAAUGGUAAAAGUCAUUUUAAACAUACAUGUGAGAUGAUGUUCUUUUUAAUGACACGUUUCAUUUGUGUUUGUAUGUGGUCUGUCUGUCUUGAUCAUGAGCCCCUAGAAAUCAAGGAUCCAGUCAACUUAGUUAAUAAGUUACUAGUUGUAUACUCUCCUAAAUUUGUUUUAGGUGCUCAGGAUUAGCAGUGAACAAAGCACAUGAAAAUCCCUGUCUUUAUGGUGUUUACUUGACAUUGCAAGGAAACAAAGUUUUAAAAACAAAAACCAUGAUGGUAAGUGUUAUGGAGAAAAUUAGAGCAGGGAAGUAAAAGAGGGAGGGUGUUGGUGGGCAGGGGAAAGGGAAGGUUGCAGUGCAGUCAUAAAAUGGGUAGUCAGAGAAGAUCUGAUCCAAACGAUGAAUCAGGAGCUAAAGAUGGGGAUAAGCCACAUGGUGGAAGAGUAUUUCAGGCAAAGGGAAUAGCAAAUGAAAAACCCUGUGUUGAGAGCAUGCCCAGUGCAUGCACAAAGCCCGCAAAAGUUGGGAAGGUGGAGAAGAAAGAGGAAGCAACUAGGAAAAGCGUGGAAGGCAAGGUCAGGACCAUGACAGCUGGACCGACCACAUAAGGUCUUGUAGUCCGUUGUAAGGAGUUUGGGUAGUAUUCUAAAUAAGAUGGGAAGCCAUUGGAAGGUUUUUUUUUUUUUUUUUAGCCAAAAAGUGGUAAGAUAAGAUGUGUUUUAUUAGAAUCUCUGAUUACUGUUAGGGAAGGGCCUUGGUGGAGGAGAGUAAGAGGGGGGAGAGCAGGGUAAGGGCUAGUGAUGACUCCUACCUGAAUAGCAUUAGUGGGUGCUAAUAAUACAUGGUAAGAAGUGAUCAGAUUCUGAUCGAAGGUAGAGCUAACAAGAUUGGCUAGUGGUGCAUUUAACUAAGUGGUGUGGAAAAGGAAUCAACAUUUGGCACCUAAGCAAAUUAAGAAGGCUGGAGUUGGAAUCAACUAAAAUGAGGAAUCUGGAGGUGGAGCAGGAUUGGGAAAAAAUGAGAGCUGUUCUUUGACAGGUUAAGUUUGAAAUGCCUCUUCAGUAUGCAUAUGGAGGUGUCAGAGCAGCAGAUACACCAGUCUGGAAUUCGGGAAUAGUUCUGUGCCAGGCAUGUACAUUUGGGACUCCAGAGUGGAUAGGUGAUACAGCUGUGAGACUGUAUGAGAUCACUGAGGAAGUCAGUGCUGCUAGAGAAGAAAGAAGUCUGGGCACUCCGACAUUAAGCUGAGGAGAUGAGGAGGAAUCAACAAAAGUGCAGGAAGAAGAAAGAAAAGGAAAAUCCCAGGAACAUGUGGGUACCUGGAAAGGAAGUGAGGAGUAUCAUGGAGGUGGGAGUGAUCUACUGGAUACAGGGCAACUGCUAAGUCAAAUAAGCUGAGGACUGAAAAUGCCCAUUUUAUUUAGCAGUCAAUGGGUGGUGGGCAUUGGUGACUUUCACUAGCACAGUUUUAUUGGAGUGGUGAGGGCAAAUGCUCAAUUGGAGGGGGUGCCACAGGUAAUGAAAGAGAAAUUGGAGACCCCAAUGUUGCAGUAAAGUAGAGAAAUAGGGGAUAGUUGGGAGUUUUGGGUUUUGUUUUUUUAACAUAGGAAAAACUGUUCAUGGGAAAAUUGAAGCGGGGGGAAACGAAUGAGUGGGGUAGAGGGGCAAUGUCCUGGAGAAGAUCAUCUGCUAUGCUGUUUGCCGAGGGUGUUUCCAAAGUUCCCUGCACUUGCCUUGGACAUUUCUCUCUGACUAGACUCGAGAACUCUUUGGGAAGUAGUACCCCCACUUACAGCAGUCCAGGUCUUCACCAAAUUCUUGAAUUAUCCUAGGUAGGCAGGAGGGAAUGGGAUCUAACACAGGAAGUGGUUGUCCUUUGCUGGGAACUGCAAAAUGUCAUCCCAUCCAUAGUUCACAGGAAAAUCGGCAAAGGACGAGCAGAUAGGUCCAGGCUGGAGGGUAGAUGGAGAAGGAAGCUUUCUUGUUGCUUUUAUACCUCCAUGAAAUAGGAGGUGGUUAUUGGCUGAAACUGAGCUGGGAGAGGACCAGAGCUAAUGUGCUUGUGUGACUCCUCUGUGCCCUGGAGAAUACAUGUAUGAUUAAGUGAUUUUUUUUUUUUUUUAUCUAGGUGGGCCUUCAAUUUCAUAGUUACAUGUUAAUAAUGAAGCAAUUUUAAUUCCAGUAGCAUUUGGAAUGGCUCUUUUUAUCCAAAUAUGGUCAGCAAUUGUUAGUUGGUUUCAGUCUUAAGCACCUUAAUAUUUUCUUUCCUUUGAUCUUCCUUGUCAUUGAAGGAUCUACCUUGACACCAACUUUAACUAGAGGAAUUUUAAGUAUUCACUGAAUGCUAAACUGCUAUAAAUGGGAACAGGAGAAAUUUAGGUCUCUUAGGGAGCUCAUCAUAGUCUAGUCGAGAAAAGGGAUGUUCUAGGUAAGUACAGAGAGCUUUGGAAGCACCUCUAGAUGAUGUGGCAGAAGACUUUUCUGCAUUGGGCAGAGCAAAAUGGCUUAUCAAAGGUCCUUUCUUGCUUACUCAGAUGAGUCUAGGAAAUUGAGCAUUCUUUACCCCAAGUCUGCUUUGUGGAUGUGAUGGUCAAAGAAAGACAUAGUCACACCAACCCCUGUUACCCUGACUUCCAACCUAGUCUCACAGUAAACAGUUCCUGAGUAGUUGCAGGCCUUCAUCCUGUUGGGUCCCAUCUUACCCAGGAAGUAGGGAAUUUGAAGAGCAGGUUUCAUAUCCAGAGAACCCAUAGGGCAGUGAGCCAUGACCAAGGCCCCCACCUGGUGAGCUUUCCUUUCCCUGCUACAGUCCUGACUUUCUGCUCCCCAAGGUUCAUACAUAAGAAAGGGGACAUAGCUUAUUUUCUCUGAAAACCCAGUCAGGCCUGAUCCAUGAUCGAUUCAACCACUUAAUUUUGCCUAGAGAGUCAAGAGUUAACAAAUACUUACAAGUUAACUUUUCUUUUCCUGAUUGAGUCUUGCUGAACACUACCUUUGCUGUGAUUAUUAUUGUACAUUUAAACCCAGCUGUAUUUAUGAUCUGAAAUUAAAGAAAUAGGGUAUGCCUCUUCUUUCUCAAGUUCAUCAUAACAAUAUCCUUUAGAAUAUUUCACAUGUACUCUACAGGCUAAUUGCCUUUUCUUUUUCCCUUAUUUCUGAAGAAUGUGUUUUCAUGGUCUGUUUUCCUUUCCAGUUCUAGCCUCUUUUUCUUUUUUUUUUUAAUUUUAAUUUCUAAGUGCUUAGAUUUAGCCACGUGUUCUAGUCCUUGUCUUAUUCAGGCCCUCACAGUUAUCCCUUGUCUCUAGGAGCCUUUUAAGUUAACCUCUUGUCCAUGCAAAGGACUCUGGUCUCUUCUUCACACCCCUAUCACAUUAAUCUUCCCAGAGUAAGCUCUUUAUCAGGAUACUCCUUGCUCAUAAGACGCGUUUGAGUGGUUGCCCAUUGUUUACAGAAUAAAGUCCAACCCCCUUAGAACCCUGGCUUUGUGUCAUGACCUCCAUGUGCUCCCGUGAUGAGUCCAGCAGCAUCUAUUUCAAUAGCAGCUUCAGAUGCCCUCGUUCUGUAGUGAAAUGCCAGGGUCGCUCUUGCCAAUGGCAGCGGUUCCAUCUAUCACUUAAAAAUAUUUUCUCAGAGAAAUAGCAUUAGUGACUUAUUGAGAACACUUCCUUAAUCCUCUGACUCUUCAAGGCUUUCUGCUCCUAGGACCACAACUCGUUUGAUGCUCUGACAUUUUUACAAUUUCUUUUCCAAGUAGCGGUUCAAAGUAUUGACGCAUGCAACCUUGUUGCUGGCCAUGUGAAGUUUCAAGCAUCAGCAAAUGGAUUGCUUCAGAUACACCGCAAGGCACACCAGUAUUUGAAAUCUGAAUUGAUAUACUUGGUGCUUCAAGACAGAUGGUGCAUUGCUUCUGUGCCUAAGAGCAUUUGGCAGUGCUGAAAUUGAGCCUUCUGUUCAGUCCAGAAUAAUUCAGUGAUGAGUGGGCAACUUUGUACUUUUUUUUUUUUCUGGAUUUGAAUAUUUGGAAAUGUUUUUUUAGCUUACAUGUUAACUGUAAGCACCUUCAUGAAAUGACAUUACAGGUGUAGUAAGUACAUAAUCAGUGGAUAAGCACCGUGUAUCAGUUUGGCAUAUGGCUCCAACUUGUUUUUAUUUUCAUUACAGUGAUAAUGUUUCUACUAAGAUUAACAAGUAUUUGGCCACAUUUAAACACAGGCAUAUAAAACUUUGCAGAUUUAAAGUUAACUGUUAGCUAAGCUAAUGUUAGUUAAGAUCAAAAGGGAAGCUUUCCAAAUGUUGCUGAAGGGAGUUUAAAGGAACAGAGGUUUUUUAAGUCUAUAUUGGUCAUCUGUCCUCAGUUUCCGUUUAUUCCCCCUGGUUAACACCUCUUCUUAGGCACCUCACUAAGACAGCAUUUCCUUAUUUAAGGCCUGGCUGGAAGACUGCAUUGAAAAACAUCUCUAAAGCCCUAUAUUUUGUUACUUAAAAUUAGAAAUCGUUUUGUAUUCUUUCUGAUGUGCAGCUUGUUAGAGCCUUCUUGGUGAUUAGCUAGAAAUGUACUUUUUCUCUUCAUAACUCUUUCAUAACUCUGUAGUUAUCAUUUGGGGAAUGCUGGGUGUUAAAUAUAGGAUGCCAGAAGCUCACAAGAUAACACUCCAGUGGGGAUCUCAAGAAAAAUAGCAAAGCACCCUAUUCUGCAGUCGGUCAUGGGUUACAGUGUUGAUGGAGGACAAUGAUGGUUGAUUUAGAAGAGGGUGCUGCUAUACCGCAGAGAAAAUGUCCAGACCAUUUUAAACUUUGGGGAAAGGUAUACUCUUCUGAGCUUGGGUUAAAAUAUUGUAUUGCCUGCUCUCAUAAUGCUGGAAGGAUAAAGAGAUCAAUAAAAAGUUUCUUCAGAUUCUGUAAAUCA